AGAGUGAACGCUGGCGGCAGGCCUAACACAUGCAAGUCGAACGGCAGCACAGGGGAGCUUGCUCCCUGGGUGGCGAGUGGCGGACGGGUGAGGAGAACGUCGGAAUCUGCCUAUUUGUGGGGGAUAACGUAGGGAAACUUACGCUAAUACCGCAUACGACCUACGGGUGAAAGCGGAGGACCUUCGGGCUUCGCGCAGAUAGAUGAGCCGACGUCGGAUUAGCUAGUUGGCGGGUAAAGCCCACAAGGCGACGAUCCGUAGCUGGUCUGAGAGGAUGAUCAGCCACACUGGAACUGAGACACGGUCCAGACUCCUACGGGAGCAGCAGUGGGAAUAGUUGGACAAGUGGGCGCAAGCCUGAUCCAGCCAUGCCGCGUGUGUGAAGAAGGCCGUUACGGUUGUAAAGCUACGUUU
rnacentral:rRNA from 1 species